UCUGGGAGUGGUGGCACACACCUGUAAUCCCAGCAGCUUGGGAGGCUGAGGCAAGAGGAUCUUGAGUUCAAAGUCAGUCUCAGGAAGUUAGUGAGACUCUAAGCAACUCAGCAAGACCCUGUCUCUA
rnacentral:sRNA from 1 species